UCAAGUUUCUAAGAGCAGACGGUGGAUGCCUUGGCAUCUGGAGCCGAAGAAGGACGUAGCAAUCUGCGAUAAGCCUCGGGGAGUCGAUAAGCAGACUUUGAUCCGAGGAUUUCCGAAUGGGGAAACCCCGUCAGGCGUACUUGUACGACCUGAUGACUCCCGCCUGAAUAUAUAGGGCGGGUAGAGGGAACGUGGGGAAGUGAAACAUCUCAGUACCCACAGGAAGAGAAAACAACAGUGAUUCCGUUAGUAGUGGCGAGCGAACCCGGAACAGGCCAAACCGAUCAUGUGUGAUAGCCGGCAGGCGUUGCAUGGUCGGGGUUGUGGGACCUUCACGUACUUCUGCCGAAGUACACGUCGACUUGCGCGAUAUAGGUGAACGGCAUUGAAAGGCCGACCAUAGUGGGUGCCAGUCCCGUAACCGAAAUGUCGUGCAGAGGCGGAAGGGAUCCCAAGUAUCACGGGGCCCGAGAAAUCCCGUGUGAAUCUGCCAGGACCACCUGGUAAGCCUAAAUACUCCCAGAUGACCGAUAGCGGACAAGUACCGUGAGGGAAAGGUGAAAAGUACCCCGGGAGGGGAGUGAAAUAGUACCUGAAACCGUCUGCUUACAAACCGUUGGAGGGGCCCUAGUAGCCCUGACAGCGUGCCUUUUGAAGAAUGAGCCUGCGAGUUAGUGGUAUGUGGCGAGGUUAACCCGUGAGGGGAAUCCGUAGCGAAAGCGAGUUCGAAUAGAGCGAUUCAGUCGCAUGCCCUAGACCCGAAGCGAAGUGAUCUAUCCAUGGCCAGGUUGAAGCGACGGUAAGACGUCGUGGAGGACCGAACCCACUUGGGUUGAAAACCGAGGGGAUGAGCUGUGGAUAGGGGUGAAAGGCCAAUCAAACUUCGUGAUAGCUGGUUCUCUCCGAAAUGCAUUUAGGUGCAGCGUUGCGUGUUUCUUGCCGGAGGUAGAGCUACUGGAUGGCCGAUGGGCCCUACAAGGUUACUGACGUCAGCCAAACUCCGAAUGCCGGUAAGUGAGAGCGCAGCAGUGAGACGGUGGGGGAUAAGCUUCAUCGUCGAGAGGGAAACAACCCAGACUACCGACUAAGGCCCCUAAGCGUGUGCUAAGUGGGAAAGGAUGUGGAGUUGCAGAGACAACCAGGAGGUUGGCUUAGAAGCAGCCACCCUUGAAAGAGUGCGUAAUAGCUCACUGGUCAAGUGAUUCCGCGCCGACAAUGUAACGGGGCUCAAGCACACCGCCGAAGUCGUAGGAUUCGCAUUAUAGGUAGGCCUUCGUGGUCCAGCCGUGCGGAUCGGUAGGAGAGCGUCGUGUGGCGAGUGAAGCGGCGGGGUGACCCAGCCGUGGACGCCACACGAGUGAGAAUGCAGGCAUGAGUAGCGAAAGACAUGUGAGAAACAUGUCCUCCGAAAGACCAAGGGUUCCAGGGUCAAGCUAAUCUUCCCUGGGUAAGUCGGGACCUAAGGCGAGGCCGACAGGCGUAGUCGAUGGACAACGGGUUGAUAUUCCCGUACCGGCGAAGAACCGCCCAAGCUAAUCCAGUAGUGCUAAGAGUCCUAAUCCGGCAGAUGGAUCCCUUCGGGGUGAAGCAGCCGGCCUAACGCUCGACCCCAUGCUGGUGCGGCUAGCGUAUUAACAGGUGUGACGCAGGAAGGUAGCCCAAGCCGGGCGAUGGUUGUCCCGGUGCAAGUGCGUAGGCUGAGAGAUAGGCAAAUCCGUCUCUCGUGACGGCCGAGACACGAUGCGGACCCGAAAGGGAUAGUGGGUGAUCCUAAGCUGCCAAGAAAAGCAUCGACGCGAGGUUCCAGCCGCCCGUACCCCAAACCGACUCAGGUGGUCAGGUAGAGAAUACCAAGGAGAUCGAGAGAAUCGUGGUUAAGGAACUCGGCAAAAUGCCCCCGUAACUUCGGGAGAAGGGGGGCCGGAUUGGUGACGGGAUUUACUCCCUGAGCCUUGAAGGCCGCAGAGACCAGUGGGAAGCGACUGUUUACUAAAAACACAGGUCCGUGCUAAGUCGCAAGACGAUGUAUACGGACUGACGCCUGCCCGGUGCUGGAAGGUUAAGAGGAGCGGUUAGCGUAAGCGAAGCUGCGAAUUUAAGCCCCAGUAAACGGCGGUGGUAACUAUAACCAUCCUAAGGUAGCGAAAUUCCUUGUCGGGUAAGUUCCGACCUGCACGA
rnacentral:rRNA from 1 species